CGCUAUCUAUCCUGAGCCUCA
rnacentral:miRNA from 1 species